UAUAACUUGCCUGCCCUCUUCUAGUUUGGGCUUUAUUAUAGAAAUUAUCCUCUUCAUAUAGCAGAGUUUGGUGAACAAGAAGGGUAGGUUUACUGCCUUUUUUAUUUUACUGUACUACUCAUUACUUCCCAAUGGGAUCAGUUAAUUCUGCAGUUUGGGAGAAGUGCACCCAUUUCUUUUCCUGGUAGCCCAGUUAUUUUGCUUGCUAUCCAAGACCAAGUAAGUCCUUGACCAUGGUUUGCGGGCAGCAGGUGAACUGAUCUGUGCAGGAGCAGUGGCAGAGCAGGGGAACUACUGAGGAGCGUUGAUGAAGAACAGUGCCGUGGCUGAGCACUAGAUGCCACUCUGAGGCCGCAGUAGGAGCUUUGCAACUCUGCAACACCCCGGUGGAGAAGGCUGGGAGCGUCAGUUCCCGGAAAGCCGCGUGUGGGAGGGAGACAGGCCGUGCUCCUUGCAUUACAUACCCCUCCAAUGACGCUAACAGAACAAAUAGCUAAAAGGUGAAUCAGGGGCCACCGGUGGUGGAUUGAGGGCCACAGCAGGUGCUUCAGAUGGGAGCUAAACUUCCAGAGUUAGCAAAUAAUCUCCCAGCUUCAAUGGCUUUGUGCACAGGUGUCCUCACUUCUGACCUAUUAGCCAGAUGGGCUCAGAAGGAAGGGGGAAGAGCUAGGUGAAAGGGCAGUUAUAGCUCACUGAAUGGGAUUUCAUGAGAGUUUAAGAUUGAUCUGAAGACCUGGGGCUCUUACAGCAUUUCUGCUGGUAGAGACCCUCUGCAGGACAGACUGUGGCCUCCAACCCACGGACUUGGUUCUGGAUUGUUUCCUGUUUCAAGUUGAACAUUUGGACCUCUUGGUGCUGGUAUAAGAGAAAACUGAUUGGUGACGCUUCUAGAUCUUUUCCUGUUCCUGAUGGUUUGUAAGGCUUGGUCCUGGAGGCUUCUUCUGCCUCUCCAGCAUUCCUGUUGCCUGGUGCUGCCCUGCUGCAGCCUUGGUCCCAUGGGGCUUGUGUGUUCUGCUUCUCCAGCUUUUGCCUUGCCUGGUGCAGCAUUCAAGCAACACCUUAAUAAAAAGCUUUCCUCCCUUA